rnacentral:rRNA from 1 species
GAUGAACGCUGGCGGCGUGCCUAAUACAUGCAAGUCGAGCGAACAGAUGAGGAGUUUGCUCCUCUGACGUUAGCGGCGGACGGGUGAGUAACAAGUGGAUAACCUAUCUAUAAGACUGGGAUAACUUAGGGAAACCGGAGCUAAUACCGGAUAAUAUAUUGAACCGCAUGGUUCAAUAGUGAAAGACGGUUUUGCUGUCACUUAUAGAUGGUUCCGCGCCGCAUUUGCUAGUUGGUAAGGUAGCGGUUUACUAAGGCAACGAUGAGUAGCCGACCUGAGAGGGUGAUCGGCCACACUGGAACUGAGACACGGUCCAGACUCCGACGGGAGGCAGCAGUAGGGAAUCGGCCGCAAUGGGCGAAAGCCUGACGGAGCAACGCCGCGUGAGUGAUGAAGGUCUUCGGAUCGUAAAACUCUGUUAUUAGGGAAGAACAAAUGUGUAAGUAACUAUGCACGUCUUGACGGUACCUAAUCAGAAAGCCACGGCUAACUACGUG